GGUCUCUCCACGCAGAGAAGGUCCUCCAGCCCCCAGAUCAGAAACUCACUCGCUCUGUCGUCACGCAGGUGAAGACGAUCACAUUCAUGUCCAGCUUACAGACGUCCAUAAAGUUUCUGGAUGGCAUUGUGGGAAAGAGGAUGCUCGACAAUAGAGGCCAGGGAUGCGGAACCUUUUUCAGCUUGUGGACUACAUUCCUUUCUAGGCAACCUUCCAAGGGCCACGUGCCAGUGGUGGGCAGAGCCAUAGGCAACAGUAGAUGGGGCAACGAAUGCACAUUUCUAUGGCAGGGUAGUUCACUCACACUCUCUCACUCUCACUCCAGAGAAGCAAGAGGCAUUAUCAGUGUUGGGGGAGAGGAGGGGAGAGGAAGGCAGGGCCAACGGGGGGGGGGGUAAUCUGGAGAUUGUUCAGAGGGCUAGAUAAGCCUGGGCUUACUUCUGUGUAGGCACGGUUAGGAUUGCAGCCAUAGAGGCAAACAUAUCUCCCCUGAGAUGACACAUUUCUCUCCCCCUCCCCCGCUUGAGGUUCCCCAUCCCUGAGACUGACCUUAGGUCUGAUCCAGCAAAGAAAAAAAAAUCUUAUCUCGGUUCUCUGUACAACCACAGAGACAAAUAGCAAUGUAUUUGCUUCUUA